AAACAUUUCUAAUCGUAUUAAUAAUUAGUACCUCCUGCUCAAUGAAUUCUUAAAUAGCCGCGUCUAUUCGUGCUAAGGUAGCAUAAUCAUUUGCCUUCUAAUUAAGGGCUUGAAUGAAUGGAUUUACAUGCAGGUCUCCCUAUUAUUAAGACUACUUUAAAUUUUCUUAUAAGUAAGAAGACUUAUAUAAAAUAGGGGGACGACAAGACCCCAACGAACUUUACUUAAAGUUAGCUGGGGUGGCAUAAAACUAUAUCUUUUUUCAACAAAAUAUCUCUUUUAAAAGAAUUUACAAGUUACCGUGGGGAUAACAGCAUAAUUUUUUCUUAAAGAUCUUAUUAAAGAAUAAGUUUGUGACCUCGAUGUUGAAUUAAUUACCUUUAAGGAGCAAAAUCUUUAUAAGGAAGUCUGUUCGACUUUUAAAUAUUUACGUG
rnacentral:rRNA from 1 species